CUCUUCUUGCAAAGGGAAAUUUCAAAGAAAAGGAAAGGCAAAGCACUCAUGUGCAGAAGAGAGACAGAUACUACUGCACGUUUUGUAAAAUUGCAGGACACUCACUUGAUAGAUGCUUCAAGGCAAACCCAGACAGGCCAACUUGUACCCACUGUCAGAUUCCUGGCCAUCAGGUGGACAAAUGCUACAAACUUCAUGGCUAUCCUCCAUAGAAGGAUCUGACUACUUCAUGCAUGCUCCACUUGGCUCGGGGGGAUAUAGCUCAGAUGGUAAAGGACAUCAGAAAAUCAAGCAUGGCAUCUUUAUCUCCCGCACACGAGGUUGGAAAUGGCAAAUCCCAGGUGUUCUUAAGUCAAGACCAAAUUUCACAGCUCAUGGCUCUUCUCAAACCUACCACUAAGCCACAAAACCAGAAUUACUCAGUCAACAAUGCUCAAAGUAUCAUUACCUCUACCUCAACUGAUGAAAAUAUACACCAGCUAUCUGGUAUGUCCCUAUGUAUGUAUGUUGCCAAACCAAAAUGUCCUAACAUGUUAAAUAUUCCUUGGAUACUCGACAUAGGAGCAACAAAUCAUAUGAUCUGCUCCACUUCGUUUUACUCAUCAAUUUGUGCUGAGGUUGCAUAUUCUAUAGCUCUACCAAAUGGCAACGUGGUCCCUAUUACCCACAUAGGGACUCAAAGGUCACAUAUGCUUUAAUGCUUCAAGAUGUUCUAUGUGUACCUAGUUUUUCAUUCAAUCUAAUCUCUGCGAAAAAGCUAACAUAGAUGCUCAAAUGUUGUCUAAUUUUCUUUUCUCAUUGCUGUUAUAUCCAGGACCUUUCAGCUUGGAAGACGAUUGGUAUGGGUAAAGAAAAAGAAGGGCUGUAUCACAUGAUGGUCAAAGAUGUUCCCUCUUCAGCACUAUCAGAUUACCUAAAUUGCAUACUCAUACCCAAAUUCCUACUUCAGCUAUCUCAAACAUUCAAGACUUUGAUGUUUGGCAAUACAGAUUAGGACACACUUCUUACUCUAUUCUUAGUGUUGAUGGUAAUGUUCAAUUCUCCAAAUCAUCUAAUAAUGAAUUUUGUUCUAUAUGCCCUCUGUCUAAAUUGCACAAAUUACCUUUUCACACAAGCAAUCACAA
rnacentral:lncRNA from 1 species